AGGACGAACGCUGGCGGCGUGCUUAACACAUGCAAGUCGAGGGGGCCCAGCAAUGGGUCACCGGCGAACGGGUGCGUAACACGUGAGCAACCUGCCGCAGAGUGGGGGAUAGCCGGCCCAACGGCCGGGUAAUACCGCAUACGAUCUCGUGGGGACAUCCCCGGGAGAUGAAAGAUUUAUCGCUCUGCGAGGGGCUCGCGGCCUAUCAGCUAGUUGGCGAGGUAACGGCUCACCAAGGCGACGACGGGUAG
rnacentral:rRNA from 1 species